UACGUAGGGGGCAAGCGUUGUCCGGAAUUAUUGGGCGUAAAGAGCGCGUAGGCGGUCCGAUAAGUCGGCUGUGAAAGUCAUGGGCUCAACCCAUGAAAGCCGGCCGAUACUGUCGGACUAGAGUUCGGAAGAGGCAAGUGGAAUUCCCGGUGUAGCGGUGAAAUGCGCAGAUAUCGGGAGGAACACCAAUUGCGAAGGCAGCUUGCUGGGACGAUACUGACGCUGAGGAGCGAAAGCGUGGGGAGCGAACAGG
rnacentral:rRNA from 1 species